GACGAACGCUGGCGACGUGCCUAAUACAUGCAAGUUGAGCGCUGAAGGUUGGUACUUGUACCAACUGGAUGAGCAGCGAACGGGUGAGUAACGCGUGGGGAAUCUGCCUUUGAGCGGGGGACAACAUUUGGAAACGAAUGCUAAUACCGCAUAAAAACUUUAAACACAAGUUUUAAGUUUGAAAGAUGCAAUUGCAUCACUCAAAGAUGAUCCCGCGUUUUAUUAGGUAGUUGGUGAGGUAAAGGCUCACCAAGGGGUUGAUACAUAGCCGACCUGAUAGGGGGAUCGGCCACACUGGGACGGAGACACGGCCCAAACGCCUACGGGAGGCAGCAGUAGGGAAUCUUCGGCGAUGGACGAAAGACUGACCGAGCAACGCCGCGUGAGUGAAGAAGGAUGUCGGAUCGUAAAACUCUGUUGGUAGAGAAGAACGUUGGUGAGAGUGGAAAGCUCAUCAAGUGACGGUAACUACACAGAAAGGGACGGCUAACUACGUG
rnacentral:rRNA from 1 species